rnacentral:ncRNA from 1 species
AAUUAACGCCGAGCCUGUGCGCCUAACCUGUCUGCUUACGCAGAAUCAUCAGUAUGGCCAGCAGGCCGUGGCUGCUGUAAGCCACCAGGGUUCAGCCGGAAACGGACGGGCCUCCCGUAUUUGGAAAGGUGUCAACGA